AGUCCCGUAACGAGCGCAACCCUUGUGAAUAGUUGUAUUUUUCUAUUCAGACUGCCCCGGUAACGGGGAGGAAGGAGGGGAUGAUGUCAGGUCAGUAUUUCCCUUACACCCUGGGCUAGAAACAUAAUACAAUGGCCAGUACAAUGCGCAGCGAAGCCGCGAGGUGGAGCAAAUCGCAUCAAAGCUGGUCCCAGUUCGGAUAAGAGGCUGAAACUCGCCUCUUUGAAGUUGGAAUCGCUAGUAAUCGCAGAUCAGCAAGCUGCGGUGAAUACGUUCCCGGCUCUUGUACACACCGCCCGU
rnacentral:rRNA from 1 species